UCUACUGGGUGUCUGUGUCAGUGCAUUUGGACUGCAUGUGGGCUGCAGCAGGCAUAUGGAGCAGGGGUGGAUGGUGAAGAAGUAUGCAUCUACUGGAAGCCAGUGCUGGUCACACAGAGGGGUAUUGGAAUAUCCAGCUGAAGACCAAGGACCUAUGAAAGGAGCCUGGGGGCUCUGAGAGGAAAGGGCCAGGUGACUGGGCUCCAGGGAGAGAGAUGAAGGAGCUGGUAUUUGAAGUACUUUGGAGGCCAGUCCAACCACAGCGGUAUUGCCUGCUGCUGUCUGAGCUGUGGGAUUUUGCGGUGUCAUCAGAGGCCAGAGUCUUAUGACUUGGGGCAAGAGAGAAACACCCCAAAAAACUUCUAGUGGUAUUCUGGCUGAUUUUGGUUGCUUCCGCUGACUCAUGCCAAUUUGGCGGGAG
rnacentral:lncRNA from 1 species